rnacentral:lncRNA from 1 species
CUGUCCGCUAGUAGUUUAUGAAUCUGCCAUAUUUUUCAUGAUGUUCAGUGUGACAGAUUUUGCCUCUGACAAACGUAAGAGUAUAUUUUUCCUCCAUGAUUGCUGCAAAUCUUUUAGUUUUAGUUGAUUUCAUUUUCAGUUGCUCUUGCGGCGCAGUAAUUUUCAUUCGCGAUUCAUAUAUCAAGCUCUUGCUCCAGCUUAUAUGUCGCAUUGAAAGUAUGAAAAACGUAUAUAGUUCGAUAUCCCCGACUUUAGGCUCAGCGAUUCUUCAACAUUUAUGUUUACCAUGAAUAACCUAGUUUCUAUUACUAAUUUUUGUAAGAUAUAUGCGCUUUAGCUUUGGUAGUGUUAGAAGAUGAGGAAGAUGAAGGGGGGAAUGGGUAAAGUUACAUAGACCCGAGGAUUGAGAAUCAGAAAUCAUUUGAAAAGGUAGGGCCUGCUGUGAGUUUAAGUGAGGAAAAUAAAGGAAAUUGGGGUUAUAAUUGGAUAUGUGAACCUCUGUAUAAGUGCUAUGGAUGAUAGAGAAUAGGGAUACUUGCUACAUGAGAUGAUUUUGGUUUGGGGGGUUUUGCAGAACAACUCCUGAUGUUAGAAGUAGCUGCUAUAAGAUGAUAUUGGUUGGUAUGGUUCAGAAUUUGAACGCCAUAGGAAAUUACAGUUCCCUAUUUAAGUAUCAUAAGAUGAAAACUUACCAAUUUGAAGUGCUUUGUUGCAGUUAGUAGCUCAUAUAUGUGCCAAGGGAAAUGUUGUUCGGACUCUUCAAAAAUGUCAAGGGGUGCUUGUCAGAUUCACCAAAAGUAGUGUAUCUUUCCAUUCAGUAUAUUGAUUAUUUUAUUUCUUAGUAACUUUCUAUUAUCUUGUAGGUAUCUCCAUAUAAGGAAUUUAAGCACAACUGAGCUUGAGGAAUAUCAGUAGUUUCCUUCAAAUUCUUAUUCAUAUUAGCUGUGACCGGGAAAGUUCUGCAGAGGUUCUUUGGAAAUCUGGAAGAAUUUUAUUUCCCUGAUUUGGUUGAAGCUUGCCUAAGGUAAUUGAAAAGAUCCAUAAAUCAUAAAGUAUUCCAUUUUUUAUAAGGGAAUUAGUAAGCACGACUAUGAAAAGGUUUUAUUGCAUUACAUUGUUUUUAUAAUUGUAACUCAAAUUUAUUUAUCACAUCAAGAUGAAUUUUGAAGUUAGCCUUCCUACAAAUUUGGAUUAUGCUGUGGAAUCAUUGGAGAAAACAAUGUUAUUGCCAUGUGUGG